AUUGAACGCUGGCGGCAUGCCUAACACAUGCAAGUCGAGCGGAGCGGCAGACGGGAGAGUAAUGCCUAUGAAUCUGCCUGGUACGGGGAAAUAACGUCCGGCAAUGGGAGCUAAUACCACAUACUUUCAGUUUAGCAUCGGUCGGUUUAGCUAGUUGUUGGGGUAAAGGCCUACCAAGGCGACGAUCCGUAACUGGUCUGAGAGGAUGAUCAGUCACACUGGAACUGAGACACGGCCCAGACUCCUACGGGAGGCAGCAGUGGGGAAUAUUGGACAAUGGGCGAAAGCCUGAUCAAGCCAUGCCGCGUGUGUGAAGAAGGUCUUCGGAUUGUAAAGCACUUUAAGUUGGGAGGCGUUACCAAAAGAAUAAGCACCGGCUAACUUCGUGCCAGCAGCCGCGGUAAUUC
rnacentral:rRNA from 1 species